rnacentral:rRNA from 1 species
AAUAUUGGUCAAUGGGCGCAAGCCUGAUCCAGCCAUGCCGCGUGAGUGAUGAAGGCCCUAGGGUUGUAAAGCUCUUUCAACGGUGAAGAUAAUGACGGUAACCGGAGAAGAAGCCCCGGCUAACUUCGUGACAGCAGCCGCGGUAAUACGAAGGGGGCUAGCGUUGUUCGGAAUUACUGGGCGUAAAGCGCACGUAGGCGGAUCGGUCAGUUAGGGGUGAAAUCCCGGGGCUCAACCCCGGAACUGCCUUUAAUACUGCCAGUCUAGAGUCCGAGAGAGGUAGGUGGAAUUCCGAGUGUAGAGGUGAAAUUCGUAGAUAUUCGGAGGAACACCAGUGGCGAAGGCGGCUCACUGGCUCGGUACUGACGCUGAGGUGCGAAAGCGUGGGGAGCAAGCAG